UGGGGAAUCUUGGACAAUGGGCGCAAGCCUGAUCCAGCCAUGCCGCGUGUGUGAAGAAGGUCUUCGGAUUGUAAAGCACUUUAAGUUGGGAGGAAGGGCCAUUACCUAAUACGUGAUGGUUUUGACGUUACCGACAGAAUAAGCACCGGCUAACUCUGUGCCAGCAGCCGCGGUAAUACAGAGGGUGCAAGCGUUAAUCGGAAUUACUGGGCGUAAAGCGCGCGUAGGUGGUUUGUUAAGUUGGAUGUGAAAUCCCCGGGCUCAACCUGGGAACUGCAUUCAAAACUGACAAGCUAGAGUAUGGUAGAGGGUGGUGGAAUUUCCUGUGUAGCGGUGAAAUGCGUAGAUAUAGGAAGGAACACCAGUGGCGAAGGCGACCACCUGGACUGAUACUGACACUGAGGUGCGAAAGCGUGGGGAGCAAACAGGAUUAGAUACCCUUGUAGUCCCUGAGCGGGCUGGCAAGGCGCAU
rnacentral:rRNA from 1 species